rnacentral:misc_RNA from 1 species
GAUGAAGAACGUAGCGAAAUGCGAUAAGUAAUGUGAAUUGCAGAAUUCAGUGAAUCAUCGAAUCUUUGAACGCACAUUGCGCCCGCUAGUAUUCUGGCGGGCAUGCCUGUCCGAGCGUCAUUUCAACCCUCAAGCCCCCGGGCUUGGUGUUGGGGAUCGGCGUGCCUCCGCGCCCGCCGUCCCCUAAAUCUAGUGGCGGUCUCGCUGUAGCUUCCUCUGCGUAGUAGCACACCUCGCACUGGGAAACAGCGCGGCCACGCCGUUAAACCCCCAACUUCUGAACGUUUGACCUCGGAUCAGGUAGGAAUACCCGCUGAACUUAAGCAUAUCAAUAAGCGGAGGA